rnacentral:rRNA from 1 species
AGUUGGAUUUCGGUUGAGAACGGCCGGUCCGCCGUUUGGUGUGCACUGGCUGGUCUCAACUUCCUGUAGAGGACGCGCUCUGGGUUAACGCUCGGACGCGGAGUCUACGUGGUUACUUUGAAAAAAUUAGAGUGUUCAAAGCGGGCUUACGCUUGAAUAUUUCAGCAUGGAAUAACACUAUAGGACUCCUGUCCUAUUUCGUUGGUCUCGGGACGGGAGUAAUGAUUAAGAGGAACAGUUGGGGGCAUUCGUAUUUCAUUGUCAGAGGUGAAAUUCUUGGAUUUAUGAAAGACGAACUUCUGCGAAAGCAUUUGCCAAGGAUGUUUUCAUUAAUCAAGAACGAAAGUUGGGGGCUCGAAGAUGAUUAGAUACCAUCCUAGUCUCAACCAUAAACGAUGCCGACUAGGGAUUGCAGGAUGUUAAUUGAUGACUCCUGCAGCACCUUAUGAGAAAUCAAAGUUUUUGGGUUCCGGGGGGAGUAUGGUCGCAAGGCUGAAACUUAAAGGAAUUGACGGAAGGGCACCACCAGGCGUGGAGCCUGCGGCUUAAUUUGA